rnacentral:lncRNA from 1 species
UUUUUUUUCUGUAGCAAACAUCUUUCCUGUGAAAAAUUCCCUCUCCUAGUACUUUAGUUCUGUGGAUCCAAAAUUUAUAGCAUUCUUCUACCACCACAGGGGCUCAUAUGACAUUAACAGACAAGACACUUUUCAGAAAGACAGGUUGUUCUUUUGGGCCACAUCUAAGAAAUCUUUGUCUAGCCAAAAGCCACAAAUAAUUUCUCAUUUUUUGGCUUCUGGAAGAUGUACAGUUAAAUGUUAUAUUUGGGACUGUUAUCUAAUUUGGUUAAAUUGCACUCUACAAUAUGGUAUUUGAAUUGAUGAAAAAUUAGUAAAUGUUAAUAUUUUUUAAAGUAGCCAAAUCUUGCAAUUUAUAUAUAAUAGAGAAGACUAGAAAAUCCCCCAUAUUUAUUUCCUCUUACUUCGUACUACUAAAAUUUGUAUUUAGGCAUUUGGUUUCUCAGAUAAACAUUACAUUCCCCAGUAUAUGGUUCUAUCUGGCUUGGUGACGACAUGUUGAACAUUAAGAUGUGAGCAGAAGUAAUACAUACACACUCUUUUUCAUGUCUUUAAUUGAAUGGGAUAUUGGCCCAUUUUUUCUUCCAGUUUAUUACACUGAAUAUUGACAUGUUAUUUUCCAAUAUUGAGACAAUCAAUGACAAGACUUUAAGAGUAACAAUGUAAAAAUACAGAAGUUGUCUGAGUUUAUCAACAAUCCCCUGGAUUAGAACCCCCUACCAGUUCUAGGUCAUCUAAUAUAUAGACAUUGUGUUCAGUAGAAAUAAAUAUAUAUAUUUUUUAUUAUGCUUUAAGUUCUAGGAUACAUGUGCACAACAUGCAGUUUUGUUACAUUGGUAUACACGUGCCAUGUUGGUUUGCUGCACCCAUUAACUCAUCAUUUACAUUAGGUAUUUCUCCUAAUGCUAUCCCUCCCCCUGCCCCCACCCCCGACAGGCCCUGGGGUGUGAUUUUCCCCACCCUGUGUCCAAGUGUUCUCAUUGCUCAAUUCCCACCUAUGGGAAUACAUUUUUAAAUCAUUUUUAAAGGUGUUAUUACAUUCUGAUUGAACAUUUUCAGAAAGAAUAAAUAAUUUAAUACAAGAAGUGGGCCACUUCAUGUAACAAAACAAACCACCACUACAGCAACAACAACAAAAAACACUAAUGAAUGUGACUUUAGCUUUGCAACAUCGUGACAGACUAGCAAGUUAAUGACAUUUGUUAUGCCAUAGAAAAUAUUUGUUGAAUUGCCACUCUAAUGACUUUAUAUCAGCCAACUCAUUAUCAACACUAGAAAAGAUGAUUAAAAAAUACUUCAGUACGUUCACGUGUUGGCUUGUUAACAUUUUUAAGAGUCUAUAAGAGAAAAAUGCAUCCAAUCUUGACAAAAAUAUUUUUCAAGUAUCUUGUAGGUACGUACAACUAACUACCUUGUGAACAAAAGUCACUAUAUAAUUAUAUAAUUUCUGACACUUAAAAAAGUUUAUUGUGCUAAAGAAGAUAUAUGUUCUAAUACCAAAUCCACAUAUAAAAUAAUUGACUUAAAUAAUUUAAGAUGCUCUUUUAUAUAUUUAUAUUAAAAACUUUACAGAGAAUAAAAAAAGCAUUAUACAGGCUACUUAUGGUUUUUGAUGUUUGGAUCUACAAUACAUGUAUCAAAGAUUGUGGAAAUAAAUCAAACAAUAUAUUCAAUUGGACUUAAUUGCAUUAUUACAUGCCAAGUGUCGUAUACCAUCUAUUUGCACAUAACACUUUUUAAUUUAGGUAAAAUUAUUAUCAUAAAGCUACAUGAAUUUAUUUUAUUCCAUGUUAUUAUUUAUGUAUUGUUAGGAACAUUUGCUUAAAAAUCAUAUUUGGACAUAGUUAGUAUCAGAUACUUUACAUCCUUUGAAUCAGUUAUUUUAUAACAGUAUAUACUAAACAUCAUUACUCCUUUUCAAACAUAAAUAACGCAAUACAAAUUGGACAAAAAAUUCAGGAAAGAUCUGGGAUCAAAAAGGAGGUAUUGAAACAUCACAUGUACUCCAUAAUUAUAUACAAAUAUUUUGUACCCAUAAUAUUUAAAAUACAGAAAAUUAAAAGGUGCAUUUUCCUCAAAGUGCAUGCUUCUUUUGCUAUGCAAAACUGCAAGAUAUGGAAAGAAGUGUAUUAAAACACUAAAUCACUUUAUGUGGAAGAUAAAAGGGAUGGUACCCAAUGUAAGACUUCAUGUAGUGCACUGAUACAUUCAAUACAAAUGAUGUAUUAACUUCAAGAUAACAUGAGAAAGUUAAAUUAUCUAACUUAUUUCAAACUAGGGGAUAGUAUGUUCUCAUUAUUAGAAGCCAGAAUUCUGCUUAUCCAUUUCUAUUAUUAGAAAAAAACAUAAUUUUUAUUCUUGUCUUAAAAAUAGACACCAUGAUAUCAUUCUCUGUAAAUGCAGCAUGAUAGUCUGUUUACAGAGUUUAUAUCAUUCCAAGACUGCACUUCUAAAGUGAGAAAAUAUUAAAGGAUAUAAACUCACUCCUCUCUACAAAAUUCCUUAUUUUUUAUGCAAUGGCUUUAAAAUGUAUGGAAGGGGAGUUAUGGAAACAAUCCAUACCUGGAAAGCAUUCUAUCCAUGCCUUUGAAAUGGUUAUCUAGUACUAGAUUCUUAUCAGUGCCUAGCUAUGUAAUGUGUGUAGCUUAAGAUUUUUAAGAAAGAAGGAUAAAAUGCUCAAUAUAAAUUUAAAAAGCACUUUUAUUGGAAUAUUGAAUCAUAUAUUUGCUUUCUGUAAGUCCUUUUAUCUAUAAAAUAAUAGUUGAGAAAGGCAAAUAGAAUAUGUGGAGGAAUUAAAAAUUCAGUUGUAGGGUGGUAAAUGAAAACCAAAUUUUUCAUUCACCACAUUAAAUGUAAAUGGGUAUUAUACUCAAUUUAAGCAGCAAAGUUGCUUUUUUUUUUUUUUUUUUUUUUG